rnacentral:rRNA from 1 species
CACGGAGGCCCCGAGCGUUGUUCGGAUUUACUGGGCGUAAAGAGUACGUAGGCGGUCAGGCAAGUCAGAUGUGAAAGCCCGGGGCUCAACCCCGGAAUUGCAUCCGAUACUGCCUGGCUUGAGGAUUGGAGAGGAAGCUGGAAUUCACGGUGUAGCAGUGAAAUGCGUGGAUAUCGUGAGGAAGACCAAAGGCGAAGGCAGGCUUCUGGACAAUUCCUGACGCUGAGGUACGAAGGCCAGGGGAG